rnacentral:lncRNA from 1 species
CACAGACGUGGAAACCCGGGAAGAUUUCAGAGCAAGGAGACCAGGAAGACAACAGAGAACUCGGCUAGAAUGUAGACGUGGUGGGACAAGGGAGAUGCGCAAAGAGGAUCUCACCGGAAGUGAACCUAUGCAGCAGUGACGUCAUCGAAUGCCUACCAGGCCACGCCAACUGUGGUCAGGCCACUGUGCUGUAAGACAGCAGAAUGUGCCCCUUCUGUUCUGGCGAUUUCUAUCAAUCUCCUCCCUUCCCGGAUUCUCGUCAGCCUCUAGCAACAAUUAUUCCACCUUCACUUAGGAGUCGGAGAGAAGGGAGCAGGAGGUGUCACCAGGAACAGAGAGCCCAGUGCACUACAGCAAAACCAUACGCAGUCGC